AUUGAACGCUAGCGGGAUGCUUUACACAUGCAAGUCGAACGAGUGGCGGACGGGUGAGUAAGAUAUCGGAACGUGCCCAGCAGAGGGGGAAAACUACUAGAAAGCGUGGCUAAUACUGCAUACGAUGGGUGCGGCUGAUAUGGGAUUAGCUAGACGGUGGGGUAACGGCUCACCAAGGCAACGAUCCAUAGCUGGUCUGAGAGGACGACCAGCCACGCUGGGACGGAGACACGGCCCAGACUCCUACGGGAGGCAGCAGUGGGGAAUUUUGGACAAUGGAGGAAACCCUGAUCCAGCCAUCCCGCGUGUAUGAGAAGGCCUUCGGGUUGUAAAGUACUUUUGUCAGAGAAGCGGGAUCUGCAGAAUAAGCACCGGCUAACUACGUGCCAGCAGCCGCGGUAAUAC
rnacentral:rRNA from 1 species